UGAUAAAAAGAAUUCUAUGGAAAAAAUCUUGGUGUUGUGCUUGAGUGUAAUGUAUUGUUGUAGGGGCAUCGAAAUGGGGGAUGGUCCUGGUAUUCCAAUAGCCAUCCAACCUCAAGUAGAGAAGGGUGGUUAUGUCGUGAGUAGUAGUAGGAGAUUUUUAGCCUCGGGUCAGUUUGACUAUAGGUGUUUGUCAAAUUAACCUUGUGAGGUAGUUUGGGUGGUAGGUUGUUUCACCGUACAUGCGUGUGUCUCCCAAGAGUUCGACACCAAUACAUGUAUCUGGAUAGUCAAGUUUAGAGGGAAACCAGAACUCCACUUUCUCUUCCUAGCCACCGAUAAUAGGGAAACCACAAUCCACAAAUUGCAAAAACAACACUGAUCUGGUUCAGAACACCUAAGAGUGCGGAUGGUGAUCAGUAAACGUAAUAAGCACACAACAAUUCC
rnacentral:lncRNA from 1 species